GACGAACGCUGGCGGCGUGCUUAACACAUGCAAGUCGAACGGAAAGGCCCUGCUUUUGUGGGGUGCUCGAGUGGCGAACGGGUGAGUAACACGUGAGUAACCUGCCCUUGACUUUGGGAUAACUUCAGGAAACUGGGGCUAAUACCGGAUAGGAGCUCCUGCUGCAUGGUGGUGGUUGGAAAGUUUCGGCGGUUGGGGAUGGACUCGCGGCUUAUCAGCUUGUUGGUGGGGUAGUGGCUUACCAAGGCUUUGACGGGUAGCCGGCCUGAGAGGGUGACCGGCCCCAUUGGGACUGAGAUACGGCCCAGACUCCUACGGGAGGCAGCAGUGGGGAAUAUUGCACAAUGGGCGGAAGCCUGAUGCAGCAACGCCGCGUGCGGGAUGACGGCCUUCGGGUUGUAAAACGCUUUCGCCUGUGACGAAGCGUGAGUGACGGUAAUGGGUAAAGAAGCACCGGCUAACUACGUG
rnacentral:rRNA from 1 species